AGAGUUUGAUCCUGGCUCAGGAUGAACGCUGGCGGCGUGCCUAACACAUGCAAGUCGAGCGAGAAGUUAUUUAUGGAUCUUUCGGGAAAAGUAGAUAAUGGAAAGCGGCGGACGGGUGAGUAACGCGUGGGCAACCUGCCCUGUACAGAGGGAUAGCUACUGGAAACGGUGAUUAAUACCUCAUAAGACCACAGUAAUGCGUUUUACAGUGGUAAAAACUCCGGUGGUACAGGAUGGGCCCGCGUCUGAUUAGCUAGUUGGUAAGGUAAUGGCUUACCAAGGCGACGAUCAGUAGCCGACCUGAGAGGGUGAUCGGCCACACUGGAACUGAGACACGGUCCAGACUCCUACGGGAGGCAGCAGUGGGGAAUAUUGCACAAUGGGGGAAACCCUGAUGCAGCAACGCCGCGUGAGUGAAGAAGGCUUUCGGGUCGUAAAGCUCUGUCCUAAGGGAAGAAUAAAUGACGGUACCUUAGGAGGAAGCCCCGGCUAACUACGUGCCAGCAGCCGCGGUAAUACGUAGGGGGCGAGCGUUAUCCGGAAUCACUGGGCGUAAAGGGUGCGUAGGCGGCCUAACAAGUCAGAAGUGAAAGGCUAUGGCUCAACCAUAGUAAGCUUCUGAAACUGUUAGGCUUGAGUUCAGGAGAGGAAAGUGGAAUUCCUAGUGUAGCGGUGAAAUGCGUAGAUAUUAGGAGGAACACCAGUGGCGAAGGCGACUUUCUGGACUGUAACUGACGCUGAGGCACGAAAGCGUGGGUAGCGAACAGGAUUAGAUACCCUGGUAGUCCACGCCGUAAACGAUGAAUACUAGGUGUUGGGGGGUAGCCUUCAGUGCCGGAGUAAACACAUUAAGUAUUCCGCCUGGGGAGUACGGUCGCAAGACUGAAACUCAAAGGAAUUGACGGGGACCCGCACAAGCAGCGGAGCAUGUGGUUUAAUUCGAAGCAACGCGAAAGACCUUACCAGGUCUUGACAUCUCACUGCCGUAUACUUAACCGUGUAUUUCUCUUCGGAGACGGUGAAGACAGGUGGUGCAUGGUUGUCGUCGGCUCGUGUCGUGAGAUGUUGGGUUAAGUCCCGCAACGAGCGCAACCCUUGUCUUUAGUUGCCAUCAGGUAAUGCUGGGCUCUCUAGAGAGACUGCCGGUGACAAACCGGAGGAAGGUGGGGAUGACGUCAAAUCAUCAUGCCCCUUAUGAUCUGGGCUACACACGUGCUACAAUGGUCGAAACAGAGGGAAGCUAAGGAGUAAUCUGGAGCGAAUCCCCAAAAUCGAUCUCAGUUCGGAUUGCGGGCUGCAACUCGCCCGCAUGAAGUUGGAGUUGCUAGUAAUCGCGAAUCAGCAUGUCGCGGUGAAUGCGUUCCCGGGUCUUGUACACACCGCCCGUCACACCAUGGAAGCUGGGGGCACCCGAAGCCGGUGAUCCAACCCGUAAGGGAGGAAGCUGUCGAAGGUGAAAUCAGUGACUAGGGUGAAGUCGUAACAAGGUA
rnacentral:rRNA from 1 species